AUUGAACGCUGGCGGCAGGCCUAACACAUGCAAGUCGAGCGGAGCGGCGGACGGGUGAUUAAUGCCUAGGAAUCUGCCCGGUAGUGGGGGAUAACGUCCGGAAACGGGCGCUAAUACUGCAUACUAUCAGAUUAGCCUAGGUCGGAUUAGCUAGUUGUGUGGGUAAAGGCCUACCAAGGCGACGACCCGUAACUGGUCUGAGAGGAUGAUCAGUCACACUGGGACUUAGACACGGUCCAGACUCCUACGGGAGGCAGCAGUGGGGAAGAUUGGACAAUGGGCGAAAGCCUGAUCCAGCCAUGCCGCGUGUGUGAAGAAGGUCUUCGGAUUGUAAAGCACUUUAAGAUGGGAGGCGUUACCAACAGAAUAAGCACCGGCUAACUUCGUGCCAGCCGCCGCGGUAAUUC
rnacentral:rRNA from 1 species